GUAGUGUAAAGCGCUUUGGGGUCCUAUGGACUAGAAAAGCGCUAUACAAAUGCAGGCCAUUUAAUCUCAUUAAAAUGACGUUAACGCCAUAACCGCAUUAACUCUGUUGGCUCAUUAACGCGCCAGCGCCGUGCAGCCCCAAGCACGGGCGAUCUUCAUUAACUCGCUAACAGAGAUUUGCUGCGUUAAUACAGUUAUGGCAUAACUGUCAUUUUAAUGAGAUUAACGCUGACAGCACUACUUCAUAGUGAUUCUAAUAUUUAAAAAAAUGAACAGGUAGAAAAGUUUUUUUUUGAGUCUAACAGAGCUAAAGUUCUGUUAGCAGAACUUGUCCUGGAUGUAGUGUGUAUUUCAUCAUCACACUUGUGUCCUUUUGUGCGAUUAAAAAUAAAAGUAAUAUUUAUACCUCGACUAUAAACCAUUGCAACAAGAAAAACUGAUUGUAGCACAGUUUGGUUGAAGACAAAUGCAUUUUUUUUAAAUAAUCACCCUGCGUCAAAACAACAAGCAUUCAGUACAGUUACAUAUUAAACAGUAAAUUACAGAUUCCCAAUGUGUGCCUUUUCUUGUUUUGUAUAUAUUUCUCCAGUUUGGUGUUUAUGCCUGCUGUCUACUAUUAAUAGUACUUGGAGGACUUGAAGCGAGCUCACCCAUGAUUUUGUUUUACAUGUACAAUCUCAAUAAAGACACCAAAGACAGGGAGGUGUCCUUUCCAGCUAAACAAUAAUGAAGGUCACUGUUUGAAUCAGUCAUAUUUCUUUCAAUACAGUGAUGUGCUGACAGGUCCAGGAUCAGUCCAAAUCAUCAGCAGUUUGAUCCACCUAUGGACUGAAGUGCAUUUGUGAAAAUGUUGAACUGUUCUUUUAUCAGUGUCUAACAGUAUGUGUAUGAAAGCCAUGUAAUGUCCAUGUGUGCAUGCUGAAAGAGACUGUGCUGGUCUGACUCCCCUCCUCCUUUCAGGGUGGAGCCUGCUGGAGUCCAGUGGUUGAGACCAGGUCUGAGGAAGUAUUCCUGUCAACCCACAAUUGACACAAACACAGUACACAGAAACCUCAAACUGUCUGACAACAACAGGAAGGUGACAUGUGUGAUGGAGGUUCAGUCGUAUCCUGAUCACCCAGACAGAUUUGAUGUUCAUCAGCUGCUGUGUAGAGAUGGUCUGACUGAUCGCGGUUACUGGGAGGUCGAGUGGAAAGGAGAGGUUUGGAUGACAGUGAGUUACAGAAGAAUAAGAAGGAAAGGAGUCAGCAAUGACUGUUUGUUUGGAGAGAAUGAUCAUUCCUGGAGGUUGUACUGCACUAACGAUGGUCCUAUUUAUGUUUGUCACGAUACCAAAUUCGUAUCCACCACCACCUCCUCCUCCUCCGUCUCUAACAGAAUUGCAGUGUACGUGGACUUUCCUGCUGGCACUUUGUCCUUCUACAGAGUCUCCUCUGACACUCUGAUCCAUCUCCACACGUUCAACACCACAUUCACUGAACCUCUUUAUCCUGGAUUAAAAGUCUUUAUGGGUGCCUCAGUGUGUCUGUGCUGAGUUGAGUGUAAAGAGUGUCCUCCUGCUAGAGAAAACUGACUGUUGAACAGAUAGUUCAGUCUGUACAUGUCUGUCUCUUUCACUCAGAAACAUGUUUUCAGAUUCAUGGAUUCAGUUGAUGUUUUAAACUGUUCUAAAUGAUUUCUUGUAAAUUUCUUCCUCUUCAGUCAUUUAAAGAUGGAAGAUACUAUUAUUACAGGAUCCAUAUGUUUUUUUUCUGCCUUGGUUUUUGGUUAGUUGUGUUUUUCUGAAGCUCAGUUCACAACCAGCUCCUCUGCAAAUGUUUGAUUUCUCUUUCUUAAUGGGAUUUUUCCAAAGUCUCCACAUGCUCUUACUGUUUCACUCAUUGUUGGAAUCUCAUAAUUUGAAAAUGUUUUGUAUAAGUUGAAAAUAUUGGCUCAAUAAUUUUAAAUGCAGUUAUAACCAGAAUAUCAUUGUUUUGAGGGAUCAUAAUGUAUAUGGCUUAUCUAAUAAACAGCAAAGGCUUCAAUCCUGAUUUGAAAGUAGUCUUGUGUUUUUCCAAUGUUGAACAAGAACAUGGUGCAGGAUGUUGGUACCAGCUUGGUUAUCAAACACAUGAAAAAUGUAAAUAUGUGUGUAUGGCACUGCAUAUGUUGUGUAUCACUUUAGUUUGUAUGAAAUAUGUAAACUAUCACAAAGUGUCCUGGUGAAGAAUCUGCUGGAAUUUGAGGAUGGAUAUUCUUUUUUUUAGAAGCUGUUUCAUUCAUAUGAUUUUAAAAAGUCCUGCAUCAAAAACAGAGAAAGUGAAGACAGAUGUGUUUGUGUGCUCAAAGGAAAAUCACAGCAAAAAGCCUUGUGAUGGAAUUAGGCAUUUUCUGUUCUGAAGCCGUCUAGUGGUUGUUUUGUGUAUAUUAUUAUUCCAGAUCUAGCCAGGGGCCGUUUCACCUGUGUUAAUCUGUUGCCAUCACAAGUUGUAAGUAAUAUUGUUUGUUAUCAUUGAAACAGGUUCGAAUCAAAUUUGAAUGGGUAUAUAACCUAAGCUAAUUAAAGUUGAUUUAUGCAGGAAA